UGGAAGGGCUGCAGAGGGAGAGGAGGGUGAAGGACCAGGGCCCGGGUUCAGGGAGAGAAGCCGGUCGGGGGGACGCAAGGGCCUGAGGAAUUGUCAGGCCUGUCCAGCCAGAGAGGCCUUUGCUGCCCCUGACCUUGCAGAAUGUCCCAUAUGCGUCAGAAGGAAAGACCUGUCCAAGCCAUGUGUCUCGCAUCCCUGAAGAACGAAAGAGAUCACUAUUAGGGGAGGCAGCCUGGUGUAAUGGAAAAGCGAGUGCUGGUCUGGAAGCCGGAGGACCUGGGUUUGGAUCCAAGUUCUGUCACUGUUCUGCUACACUGAACCUCACUUUCUGAAUCUGUAAAAUGGGGAUGAUAAUACCUGCCUUUCUACCUACCUCACAGGGAUGCUGGGAAGAAGAAAAUGAGAUGAGGAAUGUAAGAGCACUUUGGAAAUAAAAAUGCCAUGCAAAACCCUAUGUAUUAUUACUCUUUCUACUGCU
rnacentral:lncRNA from 1 species